rnacentral:rRNA from 1 species
AUUGAACGCUGGCGGCAUGCUUUACACAUGCAAGUCGAACGGUAACAGGCCUUCGGGUGCUGACGAGUGGCGAACGGGUGAGUAAUGCAUCGGAACGUACCCAGAGGUGGGGGAUAACGCAGCGAAAGCUGUGCUAAUACCGCAUGAGAUCUGAGGAUGAAAGCGGGGGACCGAGCAGCAAUGUUUGGCCUCGCGCCUUUGGAGCGGCCGAUGUCGGAUUAGCUAGUUGGUGGGGUAAAGGCCUACCAAGGCGACGAUCCGUAGCUGGUCUGAGAGGACGACCAGCCACACUGGGACUGAGACACGGCCCAGACUCCUACGGGGGGCAGCAGUGGGGAAUUUUGGACAAUGGGCGCAAGCCUGAUCCAGCAAUGCCGCGUGCGGGAAGAAGGCCUUCGGGUUGUAAACCGCUUUUGGCAGGAACGAAACGGUGUCCGCUAAUACCGGGCGCUAAUGACGGUACCUGCAGAAUAAGCACCGGCUAACUACGUG